rnacentral:miRNA from 1 species
UGCUGCCUGAUAAGAGCUGUG